UACACACCGCCCGUCACAUCACGAAAGUCGGUUGUACCGGAAGUCGGUGCGCUAACCUUCGGGGAGCAGCCGCCCAUGGUAUGGCCAGCGAUUGGGUG
rnacentral:rRNA from 1 species